rnacentral:lncRNA from 1 species
AAUGAUUGCAUUUGAUCUCAAAUUCAACUGAAUUAAGCUAUAAAUUCGAGGUUCUUGAAUUUGAUUCCAAAAAUUAGGGAGUUCUAAAAAUCUUGGAAUUUAGUCCCAAUUUGGGGGUUCUUAAAUCUUGGUCCAAAUUUAGGGGUUUUUUUUUUUGUUUUUUAAUUUGAUUUCAGUUUAGGGAUUCUUACAUCUUUAGGUUUUGAUCUUUAGAUCUUUCUUCUUGGAUUUAUUUGUUAGAAUUCUAGGGACUUUAUUCUUCCAGUCUUUCAUCUUAAACAUAUGAGAGUUUUGAAGACUUUGAUUUUUCAGAUAUUUUCUUCCCUGUUUGUCUUCUUGAUCUUCAUAUCUUCAUUCUCCAAGAGUUGUGUUCUUGAUCUUCAAAUCUUCAUUUCCAAGAAUUGUCUUCUUGACCUUUAGAUCUCCAUUUCUCGCGAAUUCUUCAAGUUUUUUUUUUUUUUUUCUAAAAAAUUAUGUUCUUUAUCUUUAGAUCUUCAUUUCCAAAGAAUUGUUUCUUAAGCCUGGAUCCUUAUUCCUCAAGAAUUCUUCAAUAUCUUUUUCGAGGAAUUAUAUAUGUCAAAUAGCUCAAAAGAGCUUUCUAUUUAUAGUGCUAGUUGAUGCUAGAUGAGAAAGUUCUAAAAGAGCUUAACUUCUUUAAUUUUAACUCUAAAUAAUUAUAAUUUAAUUAGAAAUAAAAACUGAUGAUUCAUGAGUAAAAUUUAA